rnacentral:rRNA from 1 species
GACGAACGCUGGCGGCGUGCCUAAUACAUGCAAGUCGAACGCACAGUUUAUACCGUAGCUUGCUACACCAUAGACUGUGAGUUGCGAACGGGUGAGUAACGCGUAGGUAACCUGCCUGGUAGCGGGGGAUAACUAUUGGAAACGAUAGCUAAUACCGCAUAAUAUUAAUUAUUGCAUGAUAAUUAAUUGAAAGGUGCAAUUGCACCACUACCAGAUGGACCUGCGUUGUAUUAGCUAGUAGGUGAGGUAACGGCUCACCUAGGCGACGAUACAUAGCCGACCUGAGAGGGUGAUCGGCCACACUGGGACUGAGACACGGCCCAGACUCCUACGGGAGGCAGCAGUAGGGAAUCUUCGGCAAUGGACGAAAGUCUGACCGAGCAACGCCGCGGGAGUGAAGAAGGGUGUCGGAUCGUAAAGCUCUGUUGUAAGAGAAGAACGGGUGUGAGAGUGGAAAGUUCACACUGUGACGGUAGCUUACCAGAAAGGGACGGCUAACUACGUG